UGACAUCUAGGUGGUCAUGGUU
rnacentral:miRNA from 1 species